UAGGGAAUCUUCGGCAAUGGACGGAAGUCUGACCGAGCAACGCCGCGUGAGUGAAGAAGGUUUUCGGAUCGUAAAGCUCUGUUGUUAGAGAAGAACGUUGGUAGGAGUGGGAAAUCUACCAAGUGACGGUAACUAACCAGAAAGGGACGGCUAACUACGUGCCAGCAGCCGCGGUAAUACGUAGGUCCCGAGCGUUGUCCGGAUUUAUUGGGCGUAAAGCGAGCGCAGGCGGUUCUUUAAGUCUGAAGUUAAAGGCAGUGGCUUAACCAUUGUACGCUUUGGAAACUGGAGGACUUGAGUGCAGAAGGGGAGAGUGGAAUUCCAUGUGUAGCGGUGAAAUGCGUAGAUAUAUGGAGGAACACCGGUGGCGAAAGCGGCUCUCUGGUCUGUAACUGACGCUGAGGCUCGAAAGCGUGGGGAGCAAACAGG
rnacentral:rRNA from 1 species